AGAGUUUGAUCCUGGCUCAGAUUGAACGCUGGCGGCAUGCCUUACACAUGCAAGUCGAACGGCAGCACGGGUGCUUGCACCUGGUGGCGAGUGGCGAACGGGUGAGUAAUAUAUCGGAACGUACCUUAUCGUGGGGGAUAACGCAGCGAAAGCUGCGCUAAUACCGCAUACGCCCUGAGGGGGAAAGCGGGGGACCGUAAGGCCUCGCGCGAUUAGAGCGGCCGAUAUCUGAUUAGCUUGUUGGUGGGGUAAAAGCCCACCAAGGCGACGAUCAGUAGCUGGUCUGAGAGGACGAUCAGCCACACUGGGACUGAGACACGGGCCAGACUCCUACGGGAGGCAGCAGUGGGGAAUUUUGGACAAUGGGGGCAACCCUGAUCCAGCAAUGCCGCGUGAGUGAAGAAGGCCUUCGGGUUGUAAAGCUCUUUUGGCAGGGAAGAAACAGUAGGUCUAACACAGUCUGCGAAUGACGGCACCUGAAGAAUAAGCACCGGGUAACUACGUGCCAGAAGACGCGGUAAUACGUAGGGUGCAAGCGUUAAUCGGAAUUACUGGACGUAAAGCGUGCGCAGGCGGCUAUACAAGACAGG
rnacentral:rRNA from 1 species